rnacentral:rRNA from 1 species
AAUGAACGCUGGCGGCAGGCCUAACACAUGCAAGUCGAGCGAGAGGCGGAGGGGUGAGUAAGGUAUGGGGACUGCGAGAUAGAGGGGGAUAAAUACUGGAAACGGUAGAUAAAACUGAAUAAUAUAGGAUAACCAAAAUGGGAUUAGAUGGUAGGUGAGGUAACGGCUCACCUAGGCGACGAUCCCUAGCUGGUCUGGGAGGAUGAUCAGCCACACUGGGACUGAGACACGGCCCAUACUCCUACGGAGGCAUCAGUGGGGAAUAUUGCACAAUGGGCGCAAGCCUGCUGCAGCAAUGCCGCGUGUAUGACGAAGGCCCUAGGGUUGUAAAGUACUUUCAGUCGGGAGGCGUUACCGACAGAAGAAGCACCGGCUAACUCCGUGCCAGCAGCCGCGGUAAUUC